CGCUGGCGGCAGGCCUAACACAUGCAAGUCGAGCGAGACCUUCGGGUCUAGCGGCGGACGGGUGAGUAACGCGUGGGAACGUGCCCUUCUCUACGGAAUAGUCCCGGGAAACUGGGUUUAAUACCGUAUACGCCCUUUGGGGGAAAGAUUUAUCGGUAAAGGAUCGGCCCGCGUUAGAUUAGAUAGUUGGUGGGGUAAUGGCCUACCAAGUCUACGAUCUAUAGCUGGUUUGAGAGGAUGAUCAGCAACACUGGGACUGAGACACGGCCCAGACUCCUACGGGAGGCAGCAGUGGGGAAUCUUAGACAAUGGGCGCAAGCCUGAUCUAGCCAUGCCGCGUGAGUGACGAAGGCCUUAGGGUCGUAAAGCUCUUUCGCCAGGGAUGAUAAUGACAGUACCUGGUAAAGAAACCCCGGCUAACUCCGUG
rnacentral:rRNA from 1 species